rnacentral:rRNA from 1 species
AUCAAAAACAUGUCUUUAAGAGUUUAAAUUUAAAGUCAAAUCUGCUCAAUGAAAUUUAAAUAGCCGCAGUAUUUUAACUGUGCAAAGGUAGCAAAAUAAAUAGUUUAUUAAUUGUGAACUAGAAUGAAUGAUUUAAUAAAAUAUUAACUGUUUCAAAUUAAAAAAUUUAAUUUAAUUUUUAAGUAAAAAAGCUUAAUUAAUUUAAGGGGACGAGAAGACCCCAUAGAUUUUAAUAUAUUUAAAAAUUUUUUUUUAAAAAUAUUAAUAAAAAUAUUUAUUAAUAUAUUUAAAUGGGGAAUUUAUAAAAUUUUUUUAUUUAAAUUUUUAUGAAUAGGUUUCAAAAUUAAUUGAUUUAUUAAAGUGAAUAUUAUAAUAUUAUAGAUAAAAAUACCUUGGGGAUAACAGUGUAAUAAUUUUAUAAAGAUCUUAUUUAUAAAAUUGAUUGCAACCUCGAUGUUGAAUUAAAAUAAAAUAAAGGUGUAGAUACUUUAAAUUUUAGUCUGUUCGACUAUUAAAAUUUUACAUGAUUUGAGUUCAAAUCGCA